AUGUUUUCCAGUGUCCUGAGGACAAAGUCCAAAUUCCUCUGCUGGGAUGCCAAGGCCACUGGCCAAGCAGGAGUAAGGGAGGAUAGAUUUGGUGGUAGCCGUGGUGAAGGGCUCCUGUCACGGGCUCUCGCCUUGUCACAAAGGGAGGAGGCUAAGUCUUCUGCAGACAGUGGUGCUGGGGGUGGAAGCUGGCUGUCCAUUACCCUAUGGGAUCAGUCCUCUGGGGCCAUGAGCCCUAGUCUCCAUCUCCCGUCCUUCCCGGGAGAGCCUGGUGCUGGACUCGCCCACAGCAGCUGCUCAGUCAGAUGCUUAUGCCAGGUAACCCCCUCUUUCCCCAUUUUCUGAGCCUCUAUGCUUCUGCUUUUUCUUUAGUUUCUUAAAAGAAAUAUUGUAAAUAACCGGGCAAGGUGGCAUGCGUCUGUAAUCCCAGCUACCCCGGAGGGUGAGGCACAAGAACCUGCAAGGCAGAGGUUGCAGUGAGCAGAGAUCACGUCACUGCAGUCCAGCCUGGGUGACUCAUGGAGACUCGAUCUCAAAGAAAAAAAAAAAAAAGAAAUAAUGUGAGAAUUGCAAGAGUCUAACUCUGUCUCAGAUGAAAGGAAAGGGUAUUUCUCCCCAUAUUACAGGAAAGCAGGACAUUUUGUACUCCCAUAUCAGGCCAGGAGUGGGUCAUAGCGAUCGAUUGCUCUUGGGCACUCAGGAAGAGUGAGAACUGCGGUAGAGAGCAUGGGGCUUUGGGAGGGACAGAUUCAGGGACAACAGGGGCAGUGGCCUACUUUCCCUAUCCCCUCCCAGUUAUAGGUGGGUCUCUCCUUGCUCCUUGCAUGCACAUUGCCAUCUGCCAUGCCGGAGUCCUUCAUCCACCCAAUAAAGAACCUACUCUGUGUCAGCUGGGCGCGGUGACUCACGCCUAUAAUCCCAGCAUUUGGGGAGGCCGAGGUGGGCGGAUCAUGAGGUCAGGAGUUCAAGACCAGCCUGACCAACAUGGUGAAACCUCGUCUCUACUAAAAAUACAAUAAUUAGCCAGGUGUGCUGGCACACGCCUGUAAUCCCAGCUACUCAGGAGGCUGAGGCAGGAGAAUCACUUGAACCCGGGAGGCAGAGGUUGCAGUGAGCCAAGAUCUUGCCGCUGCACCCCAGCCUGGGCAACAGAGGGAGACUCUGUCUCAAAAAAAAAAAAAAAAAAAAGGACCUACUCUGUGUCAAGCCUAUGCUGGGAGCA
rnacentral:lncRNA from 1 species